ACCGGCAGCUCAAGUGGUGGCCAUUAUUAUUGGGCCUAAAGCGUUCGUAGCCGGUUUGAUAAGUCUCUGGUGAAAUCCCGCAGCUUAACUGUGGGACUUGCUGGAGAUACUAUCAGACUUGAGGUCGGGAGAGGUUAGGGGUACUCCCAGGGUAGGGGUGAAAUCCUAUAAUCCUGGGAGGACUACCUGUGGCGAAGGCGCCUAACUGGAACGAACCUGCCGGUGAGCACCGAAAGCCAGGAGCGCUAACCG
rnacentral:rRNA from 1 species